rnacentral:lncRNA from 1 species
UUUUCUCUACUGAUUAAGAGGUUGUUAAAACCUAUUUUAUUUAGUACAGGUGCUGCUAUGAGCUGAGGAAUGGCCAACUGCUUCUCAUGACUGUGAAAGAGCUACAUUGUACCAAUUCUGUGGUAUGACUCCAAAGCAUGGUUGAAUUGAAUUACCUGAACUUGUGUAAAUCCUAUAGUCAUUAGGCAUGGAAGCCUUCCUUCCAUUCCCUUACAACCAGGUGUGUUGUGCAGUGUUGUAGCUGAAGAUAAUCAGCUCUAAGAUGACAGAGGAAAGCAACAACUUUCAAGCUGAAAAAUGAAGUUAUCUCCUGUAAUGACUUGGGUUCAGGGAGUACUGAGCUUCCACUUCAAGAACACAACUGUGCAAGAGACAACAAUAAGAACAAUACAUACACAAAGGUUGCUCGGAAAGCAAUACCUCCUAUUUUAUUAUGUUGGUAGAUGCUGAUGCUAUGGUAGUAGACCUUCCCACCAACAUUCCAAUGCAUUUUGUUGCUGUGUGACAGAUGGCAGCAGAGGAGCAGUCUGACAAAAUGCCAUCUGACAUGGAAGUGCAGAUGAAUUCCUCCAUGUGGGAAAACUGAUGCCCAUUUACCUUCAUAGACAAUUGCUGAAUGUUUCUGGAUACCCAACAGUGGACGCGAGCACAGUGAGGUGGUGGAUGGUGAGUUUCAGCAGUGGACAGCAACAUGAAAUAUAAGCCAUGUUCUGGGCAGCUAUGCAAAGCAUCUCAAUCAGCUCAUCUGUGUGAAUCAGCAGAUUACAACCAGGGAACUGUGUAUGGAGCUUCAUUGCACUGGAAAUGAUGGCGGUAACACUGAAAUAUUGCUAAGCUU